rnacentral:rRNA from 1 species
AGGCCUAACACAUGCAAGUCGAACGGUAGCACAGAGAGCUUGCUCUCGGGUGACGAGUGGCGGACGGGUGAGUAAUGUCUGGGAAACUGCCCGAUGGAGGGGGAUAACUACUGGAAACGGUAGCUAAUACCGCAUAACGUCGCAAGACCAAAGUGGGGGACCUUCGGGCCUCACACCAUCGGAUGUGCCCAGAUGGGAUUAGCUAGUAGGUGGGGUAAUGGCUCACCUAGGCGACGAUCCCUAGCUGGUCUGAGAGGAUGACCAGCCACACUGGAACUGAGACACGGUCCAGACUCCUACGGGAGGCAGCAGUGGGGAAUAUUGCACAAUGGGCGCAAGCCUGAUGCAGCCAUGCCGCGUGUAUGAAGAAGGCCUUCGGGUUGUAAAGUACUUUCAGCGGGGAGGAAGGCGGUGGAGUUAAUAGCUUCACCGAUUGACGUUACCCGCAGAAGAAGCACCGGCUAACUCCGUGCCAGCAGCCGCGGUAAUACGGAGGGUGCGAGCGUUAAUCGGAAUUACUGGGCGUAAAGCGCACGCAGGCGGUCUGUCAAGUCGGAUGUGAAAUCCCCGGGCUUAACCUGGGAACUGCAUUCGAAACUGGCAGGCUGGAGUCUUGUAGAGGGGGGUAGAAUUCCAGGUGUAGCGGUGAAAUGCGUAGAGAUCUGGAGGAAUACCGGUGGCGAAGGCGGCCCCCUGGACAAAGACUGACGCUCAGGUGCGAAAGCGUGGGGAGCAAACAGGAUUAGAUACCCUGGUAGUCCACGCCGUAAACGAUGUCGACUUGGAGGUUGUUCCCUUGAGGAGUGGCUUCCGGAGCUAACGCGUUAAGUCGACCGCCUGGGGAGUACGGCCGCAAGGUUAAAACUCAAAUGAAUUGACGGGGGCCCGCACAAGCGGUGGAGCAUGUGGUUUAAUUCGAUGCAACGCGAAGAACCUUACCUACUCUUGACAUCCAGAGAACUUAGCAGAGAUGCUUUGGUGCCUUCGGGAACUCUGAGACAGGUGCUGCAUGGCUGUCGUCAGCUCGUGUUGUGAAAUGUUGGGUUAAGUCCCGCAACGAGCGCAACCCUUAUCCUUUGUUGCCAGCGGUUCGGCCGGGAACUCAAAGGAGACUGCCAGUGAUAAACUGGAGGAAGGUGGGGAUGACGUCAAGUCAUCAUGGCCCUUACGAGUAGGGCUACACACGUGCUACAAUGGCGCAUACAAAGAGAAGCGACCUCGCGAGAGCAAGCGGACCUCAUAAAGUGCGUCGUAGUCCGGAUCGGAGUCUGCAACUCGACUCCGUGAAGUCGGAAUCGCUAGUAAUCGUAGAUCAGAAUGCUACGGUGAAUACGUUCCCGGGCCUUGU